rnacentral:rRNA from 1 species
UAUGAACGCUAGCGGCAGGCUUAACACAUGCAAGUCGAGGGGUAACAUAGAGGAGCUUGCUUUUCUGAUGACGACCGGCGCACGGGUGCGUAACGCGUAUACAAUCUACCUUUUACAGGGGAAUAGCCCGAAGAAAUUCGGAUUAAUGCCCCAUAAUAUUGAUUUAUGGCAUCAUAGAUUAAUUAAAGUUUCGGCGGUAAAAGAUGAGUAUGCGUUUUAUUAGUUAGUUGGUAAGGUAACGGCUUACCAAGACUACGAUAAAUAGGGGUCCUGAGAGGGAGAUCCCCCACACUGGUACUGAGACACGGACCAG